CCUACGGGUGGCUGCAGUGAGGAAUAUUGGUCAAUGGACGAGAGUCUGAACCAGCCAAGUAGCGUGAAGGAUGACUGCCCUAUGGGUUGUAAACUUCUUUUAUAUGGGAAUAAAAUGUUCCACGUGUGGGAUUUUGUAUGUACCAUAUGAAUAAGGAUCGGCUAACUCCGUGCCAGCAGCCGCGGUAAUACGGAGGAUCCGAGCGUUAUCCGGAUUUAUUGGGUUUAAAGGGAGCGUAGGUGGAUUGUUAAGUCAGUUGUGAAAGUUUGAGGCUCAACCGGAAAAUUGCAGUUGAAACUGGCAGUCUUGAGAACAGUAGAGGUGGGCGGAAUUCAUGGUGUAGCGGUGAAAUGCUUAGAGAUCACGAAGAACUCCGAUUGCGAAGGCAGUUCACUGAACUGCAACUGACACUGAGGCUCGAAAGUGUGGGUAUCAAACAGGAUUAGAUACCCGGGUAGUC
rnacentral:rRNA from 1 species